rnacentral:tRNA from 1 species
CGUUUUAGAAACAUUCAGGGCCAACAGUUUCAGGAUUGUUGAGCUCCAUUGGCGGGAUUUCGCCGUCUUCGUUUCUCUUUCUUCGCGGACGAACACGCGCCAGGGGCUGAGCGCUGUGCGAUGCAUCGACUUCACGUCGGUUGCGCGCCGGCAUGUCUCUCGUGUUAGGGGCUUGUAGCUCAGUUGGUUAGAGCGCGCGCUUGAUAAGCGUGAGGUCGGAAGUUCAAGUCUUCCCAGGCCCACCAUUUUGAUCGAGUGCGGAGCAUUCGUCUUCUGGUACGGGGCCAUAGCUCAGCUGGGAGAGCGCGUGCUUUGCAAGCAUGAGGUCGUCGGUUCGAUCCCGUCUGGCUCCACCAGAUGGAAUUGAAGCUCGAGAAUGCCUCGUCAAAUUCGUCCGCGAAACAUCACUUCGCACUCAUUGGUCCGGAUGGACGGUGACGUGCGUGUUUUCUGACAUCGUAAAGAGGAGAUCGAUCCGAGUUUGGAUCUGCGAAGCAAUUCGCGGGUACCAUUCCUAAUCUCCAGAUCGUUUUCGGCGCUCGUUCAUCGCUACUCAUCGCAAGAUGAGUGAGAUGAGUGAGUUGUAAAACGAUCUUUGUAGCGAAGCUUGACCGCCUCGCUAUCGGGCCGAUCUUACGAAGCAAGCUGGUCUUUCUAGUCAAUGUCCGGCUGUGCAAUCGCAUUCAUCGAGGAUGCGCGCCUGGGACUUCGGUCUUUGGGCAAUUACACAGACAACAUUCUGCCGAGUGUGUGGACAUUGAUAAUGAGAGCAAUCAAGUGCCUUAAGGGUGUUCGGUG